rnacentral:sRNA from 1 species
AGACUUGCCCGGAUCAACAUAUGUCUGAGAAUAAGCACCGAGGGUUAACGCACCUCCAACGAGUCCGAUGACCAGAGAUUGCAUGUUUCUUCUGCUCACGCUUCUUUGCCUCGGCUUCACCUUCUCUUCUUGAUCUACAACUUCUUGUUCUCGUUUCUCUUCUACUUUCUCCGUCUUUCUUCUUUCUCUCACCAUUUUUAAGAUUCUUUGAUGAAUGAAGAGAUUCUGAUUAUG